ACAAUUACAACGAGUUCUACCGAGACCAAUCGCCAUAGUAGGCCUGAACACUCACCUGUGACGUUAUAACCUAGAGUCAAUGAAGACUAAUAGCUCAUUGCCACGUUGCAGGUCUGACAUACUCAUAAGUGACAUGGCAACGAGCUGUUGGUCUCCACGGACCACAGGUCACGUCACAGGUCAGUAGUCAGGCCUUUGACGAUUUUGAGAGCAUAUGCUCUCACGUAAUACACCUUUUUUUGUUGUUGUUUCUACUCAGAGACUCGGAGAUGACUUCUUUAUCAUAGUGAGACCACUCAUUUACUAUGUCUUGAAAAGGGUUGCACAAUUUAAUUUAGGGGAGGUAAUCCCCUAAAAAAUUAUUUUU